rnacentral:lncRNA from 1 species
GAGGGAAGGAGGAGUGGAUACAAACAAUGGCCAAUGAUGGAUGAAGGAACACCUGGGGUUGCAAGGUGUAGACUUGAGAUAACUGGUGGAUGCAGCCAAUAGCGAUAAUGGGAGUGCCCAGGCUCCGGCACGGCCUGCUACACAGAGGUGAAUGUCAGACUAGCCACUUGACUCCCUUUGACAAUCCUCCGAGAAUUCCCUACUGCAAAUGCAAUCACCAUUUCUUUUCAUUUUUCUUUUUGUAAAAUAUAUCCACCUACUCAAAGAGACAGAUGCUAGGCAGGGUAAAAAGAGGCAGAAGUUAGGCAAGACUGUUUUGUUCAGCACCCAAGAAUGUUAAUCCUCAGAGUUGUGCCCUGAAGAUUAACAGCCUCAUUUUCUGAUGAGGACACUGAGGCCAAGAAAGGAAAAGUGACUUGAUUCAAGGCACACAGCUAGGAAGUAAUGGCGUUGGGUGUUACACCUGUCUGUCUAUUGCAAAGCCUUCCAAACCUGCUCAGUUUCUCCACUGCAGGGAUGUCAGACCAAGGGCCUUUCUCUGCCCCUUCUAUGUAAGCAGGCAGGUGGGUAUUUGCUCUACGGAUGAAGCUGGAUCUGCCUCUGCUGUUGUGGGAGACAUGAGGACAGAGGCUGCAGCUCUUGGACUAAGCUCUGCUGCUUUCAAGCUGUGUGGUCUUGGGCAAAUCACUCAGGUUCUCCGAGGCUCUGUCUCAUCACCUGUCAAAGGCAGAUAAUGAAUCCUUCCUGUUGCAGGCAUUGAGAGGAUUAAGCUGGAUUAGACUUUCAGACUUACCUCUAUUGUGAUGGUGGAAGUACAGAGUGAAAUGAAAACAGAGAGAGUAGACAUCUCUCUCUUAACGUAAUGGAAGCAAGGAAGGCUGUAGGAAAGAAGAGACAGCUGAGACCUGGAGGAUGAAUGAGGAACUGGCUUCAACAGGAGGGGUCUCGCUCUGUCACCCAGGCUGGAGUGCAGGCGUGCUAUCUUGGCUCACUGCAACUUCUGCUUCCCGAGUUCAAGAGAUCCUCAUACCUCAGCCUCCUGAGUAGCCGGGACUACAGGCAUGCGCCACCACACCCAGGUAAUUUUUGUAUUUUUAGUAGAGACAGGGUUUCAUCAUGUUGGCCAGGCUGGUCUUAAACUCCUGGCCUCAUGUGAUCUGCCUGCCUUGGCCUCCCAAAGUGCCAGGAUUACGGGAGUGAGCCACUGCAUCCGGCUUGAUUUUACACUUUGUUAUAUUGAAUGAUUACUGAAAAACAGUCUGAAAAACAAUGGGGUAAAAUAGGUUCUGUAACAUUGUAAUGGCUGCAUUCAUAAACAUUCAUAAAAUUACACUGAUUGAUUGAUGUGGAAAAUAAAUAUAAGAGACAUGGUCUCUGUCUUCAAGGAGUAUAUCAGUGAUUAUAUAGUCAUAGCAUCCUAUUCUACAAAUAUAAUAUUUAGCUAGUUUUAUAUUAUUUGAAAUUUAGACUUCUAGUUUUUCUCUGUUAUAUAUAUAAAAAGUGAACAUCUUAAUACAUAUUCGUUCACUACGACGGAAAUUCCCAUGUUUUAAAUUCCAGUCUUAUACAUGGAAUUGUCAUGUUGAAUAUUAUGUCCUUUUAAAAGUAAUUGACUUAAAAAUCUUUGAAUCAAACACUCGAAGUUGUUUGAGUGCCUUUUUCCUCAUAGCCUCACCAACACAGAUAAUCACUUUUAAAAUUAUUGGUCAUCUGAUAGGCAAAAGUUAUCUUGUUUUAACUUGAAUUUUUGAUUAUAAAAAUUGGUACAUUAAAAUGCUUUUGGGCUAAUUAAAAAUAUUGGAAACAGAAAGUAGGUAGUAACAUAACAUUUCAAAUAGCAUACUGAGGUAUAGAUGGUAAGUUUGUUUUCUCCCACCCCAGGCUCCUACACCCCAUCUCUGGAGCUGAACUCUCUAGUUAGCAUGUGCUUAACAUGACUGCAUGAGGGCAAGGGCUUUGUUUUCCCAGCGUGUAGAAUGAUGGCUGGCACACAACAGGUACUCAUUGGAUGCUUAUUAAAUAAAUAAGCACUUUCCUGAAUAGAGUAAUGAAAAUUUUCUAUGUAAACAUAAACACCUACAUGCAUACUUUUUAAUCCUUUUUAUAUUAUUAACAAAAAUGGGAACUCACCACACACACUAUUCUUAAAUGUCUCGAUAUUGUUCCAUAUAAACAUAUUUAGACUCCUUU